rnacentral:rRNA from 1 species
UGGGGAAUAUUGGACAAUGGGGGCAACCCUGAUCCAGCAAUGCCGCGUGUGUGAGGAAGGUCUUCGGAUUGUAAAGCACUUUCGACGGGGACGAUGAUGACGGUACCCGUAGAAGAAGCCCGGCUAACUUCGUGCCAGCAGCCGCGGUAAUACGAAGGGGGCUAGCGUUGCUCGGAAUGACUGGGCGUAAAGGGCGUGUAGGCGGUUUACACAGUCAGAUGUGAAAUCCCCGGGCUUAACCUGGGAGCU